ensembl:lncRNA
UAAGUUUAGAUGAAAUAUGUUUCAUUCUUCUAUUUUAAACGUUCACAAGUAUACACGUAGUCAAAUAGUUUUACUUUAUCACUAGGAAUGCUACCUUAUGCGUUUAUCAUCAUACUCACUAAAAAACACAGAACAACGGCUCUCUCAUCCCUUAUGAACUAUAGAUGAUAAGAAUCAGAGGAAUUCCACAAUAAACACAUCAGAACUUCUCACAUGUGGAGCCAAAUCCAGCUCAACGGUUUUGUUCAUUUGAAAAAAAAAAUAUUUUUCGUCCACUUAUUUUUAUUUUGAAGAUAAUAUUGUUGUAUUUUCCAAUGUUCAACAACAAAACUUGAACUUUCAGAUUCACGUGUGUUUUUCACAUCUGUUUAAUGUCUUUAAUGUCUAAUGUUUAGUUAAAUACUUUUAAAGCAGAUUCAGACACAAAAUGAAAACAGAUGAUAUUACUGAAUUAUAUGAAUAAGUCCAGUAACUUCUAACUUGCGUUUUCAUUUCUGCUCGUCACAGAAACACAAUCGUCUCUCAAUAAAUAUCCUCAUUUGCAUUAUUUCACUGCUUGCUGAGCCGAGGAGAACGUUAACAGAACGUUAACAGAACGUCAGCAGAGGUUUUAUCACCUCAGAGGAGAGUUUUCACUCGGGAGGGAGACAGGAAGGGUGUGUGUCUGUGUGUGUGUGUGUGUGUGUGUGUGUGUGAGUGUGUUUGUGUGUGUGUGUGUGUGUGUGUGUGUGUGAGUGUGUGUGUGUGUGUGUGUGAGUGUGUGUGUGUGUGUGUGUUUGUGUGUGUGUGUGUGUGUGUGUGUGUGUGUGUGUGUGUGUGUGUGUGUGUGUGUGUGUGUGUGUGUGUGUGUGUGUGUGUAUCAUACUGUAGCAGUGUGAGUUUCAGUGAACCCUUGUUGAAUAUAAAUGACUCAAAAUCCAAUACUGAUCUGUCUCUCUGACUCAGUCUCUUGGAAACGCACACACACACACACACACACACACACACACACACACACACACUCGUACGUACACACAAACACACACUCUCUCUCUGCAGAAGGGACCCGGUCCAGGUCCUUCAUCUGCUGCAUUAACCAUCGCCGUAACAUUCCAGGUGCACAUGAACCAUCUAGUGCUCUGAUUGGUCGGCUAUUUGCUAUUAAUUGACUUCAGUUUUUAUAUUGAUGCCUUUAGUUUCUCUUUCACUUAUGCAAUAAUAAUAAUAUAUCAAUAUGUUUUUCUUUUCCCCCUGAGGACAGAUCUGUGUACUCCUACAUGCAUUUAUGCACCCCAUCUAUGUCGCAUCCAUCCAUAUAUCUAUAUAUUAUAUAUCUAUAUAUCAUCUAUCCAUAUAUCUAUAAUCAUAUAUCUAUAUAUCAUCUAUCCAUAUAGCUAUAUAUCAUAUAUCUAUAUAUCAUCUAUCCAUAUAUCAUAUAUCUAUAUAUCCAUAUAUCUAUAUAUCAUAUAUCUGUAUAUCAUAUAUCUAUAUAUCCAUAUAUCUAUAUAUCAUAUAUCUAUAUAUCAUCUAUCCAUAUAUCUAUAAUCAUAUAUCUAUAUAUCAUCUAUCCAUAUAGCUAUAUAUCAUAUAUCUAUAUAUCCAUAUAUCUAUAUAUCAUAUAUCUGUAUAUCAUAUAUCCAUAUAUCUAUAUAUCAUAUAUCUAUAUAUCAUAUAUCUAUAUAUCCAUCCUGUCAUGUUCAUUUCAUCUCUUAAUGGCCUGCAGAGAUAGAUUUUAUAUCCUGCAUCCAUCAUCUCUGCAGAGUGGUGUAACCUGAAGGAACACUUUGCACUCCGCACUGGCUUCGUGCGUGUGCGUGCGUGUGUGUGCGUGUGUGUGUGGGUGUGCGCGUGUGUGUGUGUGCGUGUGUGUGUGUGUGUGUGCACUAAGCCCGAAGGAAAGGGGGGAGUCAGUUUUAUAGCUGAAUGAAUCCCUUUUCACCUCACUGUCUUCACACAGCUGCUGUCUGUCAGACCACCUCUGGAUACAGAUGUUAUGGUAUCUGAUGGUGGCCGUAGUGUUGCUGCAGCACCAGAGGACGGCGUUGUUGUCGAUGCAUCUGAUGGGCGACGUGAGAUCAGCUCAGAGGAAAGGAAAAGAAGGCCGCCGUUCUAAAUCUAUGUAUACAUAUUUAUAUAUAUAUAUAUAUAUAUAUAUAUAUAUAUAAUACAUGAAGAUGACUUUCCCGCCAGUGAACAGGAAGUGACCAUAUUAGGACAGAUUGGGAUCGACGUAUCCGUCUCUGGUGUUGACCUGUCAAUCAGCAGGUAGCCCCGCCCUAAAGCGUCCCCUGCUUUAUGGUGUGUUUGACUCUAAAUGGACCAUAACUCACCAAAUGAACAUCAUGCUGGAUGUAUGUAGGACUGAGACCAUAAACUCAUGUUUACAAUCUUCACUGAGGACAUAAUAAUAUAAGAGUCAUUUUCUCAUAAACUUCUGACCCGAGGUGGCGCCCCCUGCUGGUCACUACAUAGAAUGCAAGGCUCUCUCUACAGAACCGGAGGUUCAGGUAAUCACUCCUCUGCUCGGCAAGUCGUCAUCCCAGUAAAGGUUUUAUGAAUAACGCAAAGCUGUCGUCCCCCUGUGGAUCCGCCGCGUCCAAAGUUGCCUAUCUUUUUGCAACGGUCGCCGUCCCCCCCGCCGGUUGCCGUGGAGACGACAGAAGGGGUCACAGCGAAGCAGCUGUUUGUUGCAGCGCGGCAUCGUGAGGUCUAAACACACAGACAGACGCACUCAGACACUACUGCCAGCUCCAGAGGCAUUGUGGGCACCGGGGGGGCAAUUUAGCUCGAGUGCCUCUGUCUGAGCACGGCGCACACUUACACACACACACAUACACACACUUACACACACACACGCACCAACACACUCGGCCUGAUUCACCGUGCUGAUUCAAACUCAACACUGAACAGGUCGGGUGUCACCGAGGACCUGGCAACGCGGCGCCCUCUCCAUUUACUAUCUGGCAACCCGACGUCCGGUCGACUCCUCCCUCCAAAAGGUGCAAGCUGUUUACCCAUGAUGCUUCGCGGCAGAAAGAGUCUCAUUACGACAAGCGGUGCGUUGUCAUUAGACUCAAUGGCUGCAUUAUCACAGUGUGUGUGUGUGUGUGUGUGUGUGUGUGUGUGUUCCAGAUGGUGAUGCAUCAACCAUGAAGUCAUUAUGAGGAAAUUAGAAUAAUGAACUGUUUGUCCCCCUCGGUUUCUUCCCAGCAGCCUCGGCCCCUUUAAACACAGAAGGACCACCUGACGAAGGACUCCGCCCUCUAAAUUCACCCUGACCCCCCCCCCCUGAGGGACUCGUCUCCACACAAAGCAGUGGUUGUUUUCACUGAGAUCAUCUUGGUUAUCGUAUUAUUUCCAUCCAGUCUUCUAGAAGCAGUGAGACGGUUGUUUGUGUGAGGACAUGCUGCUCGUCUUCAGCUUAUAACAUCCUCAUGUGUAACCCUGACCCUGAUCC